rnacentral:rRNA from 1 species
CACAGCCUGAUCUAGCCAUGCCGCGUGCAGGAUGACGGUCCUAUGGAUUGUAAACUGCUUUUGUACGAGAAGAAACAUCCCGACGUGUCGGGACUUGACGGUAUCGUAAGAAUAAGGAUCGGCUAACUCCGUGCCAGCAGCCGCGGUAAUACGGAGGAUCCAAGCGUUAUCCGGAAUCAUUGGGUUUAAAGGGUCCGUAGGCGGUUUAGUAAGUCAGUGGUGAAAGCCCAUCGCUCAACGGUGGAACGGCCAUUGAUACUGCUGAACUUGAAUUAUUAGGAAGUAACUAGAAUAUGUAGUGUAGCGGUGAAAUGCUUAGAUAUUACAUGGAAUACCAAUUGCGAAGGCAGGUUACUACUAAUGGAUUGACGCUGAUGGACGAAAGCGUGGGGAGCGAACAGGAUUAGAUACCCUGGUAGUCCACGCCGUAAACGGUGGAUACUAGCUGUUGGGGGCAACUUCAGUGGCUAAGCGAAAGUGAUAAGUAUCCCACCUGGGGAGUACGUUCGCAAGAAUGAAACUCAAAUA